UCCUUCAUCACCAUGGCAACAGCCUUAUCUGCAGCCCUAGAGCCUUUUCCCUACAACAGUGAAACCAACAACGAAUGUGUCAGGAGGCGUCUUGAAGUUAUUUAUGACAAGACAGGCUAAUGUUUAAAGAGCGAUCCGACAUGAGUGAAGAGAGCAAAAUCAUUUGCGAAGAAGUCUUUCCAUGCUCUAAGUCGUUCUAAUAUUACAGCAAUAAACAAAGUGGCAUGCUUAUAUUCAAACC